UACGUAGGGGGCUAGCGUUGUCCGGAAUCAUUAGGCGUAAAGCGCGUGUAGGCGGUCCGGUAAGUCCGCUGUGAAAGUCGGGGGCUCAACCCUCGGAUGCCGGUGGAUACUGUCGGGCUUGAGUACGGAAGAGGCGAGUGGAAUUCCUGGUGUAGCGGUGAAAUGCGCAGAUAUCAGGAGGAACACCAAUUGCGAAGGCAGCUCGCUGGGACGGUAUUGACGCUAAGGCGCGAAAGCGUGGGGAGCAAACAGG
rnacentral:rRNA from 1 species